rnacentral:rRNA from 1 species
GAUGAACGUUGGCGGCGUGCCUAAUACAUGCAAGUCGAACGAAGACUGUAGUAAUACUGUCUUAGUGGCGAACGGGUGAGUAACGCGUGGGUGACCUGCCCCGAAGUGUGGGAUAACAGUCCGAAAGGAUUGCUAAUACCCCAUGUGGUCAUAUGGAUUAGAUGCCUAAUGACUAAACGGAUUUAUUCGCUUCGGGAGGGGCCUGCGUCCCAUCAGCUAGUUGGUAAGGUAAUGGCUUACCAAGGCGAUGACGGGUAGGGGACCUGAGAGGGUGGCCCCCACAAUGGAACUGAAACACGGUCCAUACACCUACGGGUGGCAGCAGUAGGGAAUAUUGGUAAUCUGGGAAACCGGGAACCAGCAACGCCGCGUGCACGAUGAAGGCCUUGGGUCGUAAAGUGCUUUUGUAAGGGAUGAGGAAGGACAGUACCUUCAGAAUAAGCUCGGCUAACUACGUGCCAGCAGCCGCGGUAAACGUCUACUG